rnacentral:sRNA from 1 species
GCUGGGUGUGGUGGUACACGCCUGUAAUCCCAGUGAUUUGGGAGGCUGAGACAGGAGAAUUGGAAGUUCAAGGCCAACCUCAACAACUCAGCAGGGCCCUAAGCAACUUAGUGAGACCCUGUCUCAA